UACGAAGGGGGCUAGCGUUGCUCGGAAUCACUGGGCGUAAAGGGUGCGUAGGCGGGUCUUUAAGUCAGGGGUGAAAUCCUGGAGCUCAACUCCAGAACUGCCUUUGAUACUGAAGAUCUUGAGUCGGGAGAGGUGAGUGGAACUGCGAGUGUAGAGGUGAAAUUCGUAGAUAUUCGCAAGAACACCAGUCGGCGAAGGCGGAGCUCGA
rnacentral:rRNA from 1 species